GGGGAGGACAGGACAGAGACACACAAGGAAACAGAAUCACACAGAAAAACUCAAAAACUAAACACACAGCAACACGGAUCAUAACAGUACCCCCCCCUCAAGGGGCGCCUACCAGGCGCCCAACAGAAAAAGUCCAGAAAACAGUUCCAAACAAAAAGCAACCCAACAGGGUGGGUGGAGGGGCGACGGCAGGAGGGCCAGAGUCCAGA